UACGAAGGGGGCUAGCGUUGCUCGGAAUUACUGGGCGUAAAGGGCGCGUAGGCGGCCCUCUAAGUCAGGGGUGAAAUCCUGGAGCUCAACUCCAGAACUGCCUUUGAUACUGGAGAGCUUGAGUCCGGGAGAGGUGAGUGGAACUCCGAGUGUAGAGGUGAAAUUCGUAGAUAUUCGGAAGAACACCAGUGGCGAAGGCGGCUCACUGGCCCGGUACUGACGCUGAGGUGCGAAAGCGUGGGGAGCAAACAGG
rnacentral:rRNA from 1 species